GGAGUUGAUGCCGUUGGUUAGGCGUGCUAGCUGUUAACUAGUGUGGUGUGGGAUCGAGGCCCUCUAACUCCU
rnacentral:tRNA from 1 species